rnacentral:rRNA from 1 species
AAUAGAUACCCAGGUAGUCCACGCCGUAAACGAUGGGUGCUAGACGUUGGCGAGCUUGCUCGUCAGUGUCGCAGCUAACGCGUUAAGCACCCCGCCUGGGGAGUACGGCCGCAAGGUUGAAACUCAAAGGAAUUGACGGGGGCCCGCACAGGCGGUGGAGCAUGUGGUUCAAUUCGACGCAACGCGCAGAACCUUACCAGCCCUUGACAUGUGACUCGCCGGCUCCAGAGACGGAGCCUUCGGUUCGGCCGGAGUCAGCACAGGUGCUGCAUGGCUGUCGUCAGCUCGUGUCGUGAGAUAUUGGGUUAAGUCCCGCAACGAGCGCAACCCUCGUCUCCAGUUGCCAUCAGGUUAAGCUGGGCACUUUGGAGAAACUGCCGGUGACAAGCCGGAGGAAGGUGGGGAUGACGUCAAGUCCUCAUGGCCCUUACGGGCUGGGCUACACACGUGCUACAAUGGCGGUGACAGUGGGAUGCGAAGGGGCGACCCGGGAGCCCGGAUCCCCCGAAAAAACCGGUUCCCAGUUCGGAUUGCACUC